UACGUAGGAUGCAAGCGUUGUCCGGAAUUAUUGGGCGUAAAGAGCGCGCAGGCGGUCUAUCAAGUCAGAUGUGAAAUAUCCCGGCUUAACCGGGAGGGGUCAUUUGAAACUGGUAGACUAGAGUACAGCAGAGGAUAGUGGAAUUCCCGGUGUAGUGGUGAAAUGCGUAGAUAUCGGGAGGAACACCAGUGGCGAAGGCGGCGACCUGGACGGACACUGACGCUGAGACGCGAAAGCGUGGGGAGCAAACAGG
rnacentral:rRNA from 1 species